UCCGACCCAGUCCCUCAUCAUGAUCCAGCCCAUUCUCUACUCUUACUCCUUUCAUGGGCCACCAGAGCCAGUACUCUUGGAUAGCAGCAGCAUUCUAGCUGACAGAAUUUUGCUGAUGGAUACUUUCUUUCAAAUUGUCAUUUAUCUUGGUGAGACCAUAGCCCAAUGGCGUAAAGCUGGCUACCAGGACAUG